UAAUUUUUUCUUGGGUGACACAUACAUACGAGAAUAACAUGGGUGAGCAAAGGUUUGCUCGAUGGAGCCUAAAAUCUCAUACAAAACAAAAGUGUAAAAAAUAACUUGAU
rnacentral:rRNA from 1 species